rnacentral:lncRNA from 1 species
GCAUCUCCAUCUGAUUGGUUCUUCCAAACUCUGACACACGGUACAAUACUGCAACCAAAGUACUGGAUAACUAAGACACACUGGAUGAAGAAACAAAAGAGCCAAACAGAACCUUGGACUCCACAUCCACCAGACACGAGAGAUUCCGGUGAGUUCAGCCCAUAUGGAAAUCGGGAGUGGCAGCCAAAUCACUCCUUCUUUAUUUAUUUAUUGUAUAUUAUUAUAUUGCGUACGGCUGCAAGUGAUCGGCACGUUUCCUUAUAUUGCCAGGACAAGACCCGGAACCGAUUUUCCGACCCGAUCCGAGAAGCUGCUCUCCCAGACGGAGGGGCAAUGGCGCGACGGCGGCGAGGGAGUCGACGACGACGACGCGGCAGAGAUCGACGACGAGGGUGACGUCGUGAAGUCGGAGUUGGAGAGACGGGUGACGGUGAGGGAGGUGUUGAAGUACUCUCGGACUUGGGUUAUUACCCCAUCAGUGACCGUCCAGGCGUGGACCCAGGCGAUUGAACCGCUGUGAUCGCAGCCCUCGGCGAGGACUGUCGAACCGAAAGACGCGAAGGCGAGUGGCUCGAAGACAAAUGACUCGUCGGAUGAGACACCAGUGAGCAAGCGCAUCAUAAACUGGUGGGAAGGCGGGCCAUGGAACCACCACUCGAG